GUCAGGCAUGCUAGUCUGUACCUAUAGACCCAGCUACUCAGGAGGCUGAGGCAGGAGGAUCACUUGAGUCCAGUAGUUCUGGGCUAUAGUGCUCUAUGCUGAUUGGGUCUCCACACUAAAUUCUGAAUCAAUAUAGUGACCUCCCACCUCCCAGGAGUGGGGGACCAUAGGUUGCCUAAGAAGGGGUGAACUGGCCCAGGUCAGAAAUGGGACAGGUCAAAACUCCAGUGCUGAUCAGUAGUGGGAUUGUAUCUGUGAGUAGCCAUUGCACUCCAGCCUGAGCAACAUAGUGAGACCCCAUUUCU
ensembl:misc_RNA Metazoa_SRP Metazoan signal recognition particle RNA